GGUUUAUAGAAAGUUUAAUUUAGUUAUUAAAAAUAAUUAUAUCAUUAUAUUGUUUUAUUAUUGUUUAAAGAAAAAAUAAAUUUAAUUAUAGUUAAUUAGUAUUGUAAAAGAAUAUUGAAAUAAAUUGAAAAAUUAUUGAAAUAAAAGAAAAUUUAAUUUAUUGUAUCUUGUGUAUCAGAGUUUAUCAAAUAAAAAAUAAUAAAUAUUAUUUUUCUCGAUUUUAAAAGAGUUAAAAAAUUAUUAUAUAUAAUGUUAUAAAAUUAUUAUAAAUAAUUUUUUGGAAAUUAAAAGUUAUUCGGUUUUAAAUAUAUCUAGUUUUUUUAUAAAUAAAUUUAAUUUAGUUUUUAUUUAAUAUUGUGUUAAUUAAUAUAAAUAUAAUAUUUAAUGUAUAUUUUAUAUUGUAUUUAUAUAUUAUGAAUUUAAUUUUUUAAUUAUAUAUUGUUAAAAAGUAAUAUUUUAUGGGAUAAGCUAUAAAAUAAAUUAAUAUAAAUUGAUUUAUAAUAUAAUAAUAAAUAAUAUGCUUAGAAAUAGUAAUUGUUAGAAAAUAUUUUAUAAUUUAUUUAUUUAUUAAAAUUAUUUAAUUAAUUUUAAUUUUUUUAUGAAAAUUUUUAUUUUUAUUUUAAAAAUAAAGUAAUAAUGAUAGAAUUAGUAUAUUUUUAUUGUAUAAAUAUUUUUGAAUGAAAAGUUUAUUUAAAAAACUCGGCAAUAUAAUACUCGCUUGUUUAACAAAAACAUGUCUUUUUGAUAUUAUAUAAAAAGUCUAAUCUGCCCUCUGAUUUUUAAUUAAAUGGCCGCAGUAUUUUAACUGUGCAAAGGUAGCAUAAUCAUUAGUUUUUUAAUUGAAAGCUUGUAUGAAUGAUUGGACGUGGUAUUAACUGUUUCAUUUGAAUUUUUAGUAGAAUUUUAUUUUUUAAUAAAAAAGUUAAAAUAAAUUUAAAAGACGAGAAGACCCUAUAAAUCUUAAUAAUUUAUUUAUUAUAGUUAUUUAGAUUAUUUAAAGUAUAAUAUUUGAAGUUAUUUUAUUGGGGUGAUAUUAAAAUUUAAUAAACUUUUAGUUAAAUUAAACAUAAAUUUAUGAUUUUUUGAUCCAUUAUUAAUGAUUAAAAAUUUAAGUUACUUUAGGGAUAACAGCGUAAUUUUUUUAGAGAGUUCAUAUCGAUAAAAAAGAUUGCGACCUCGAUGUUGGAUUAAGAGAUAAAAUUAGGCGUAGUAGUUUAUUUUUUGAGUCUGUUCGACUUUUAAAUUCUUACAUGAUCUGAGUUCAAACCGGCGUGAGCCAGGUUGGUUUCUAUCUUUAAUAAAAUAGAAUAUUUUAGUACGAAAGGACCAAAUAUUAGAAUAAUAAAUUUUGAUAUUGUAUAAAAUUAAUAUUGUA
rnacentral:rRNA from 1 species